rnacentral:rRNA from 1 species
AGUGAACGCUGGCGGCGUGCUUAAGACAUGCAAGUCGAACGGCAGUCUUCGGACUGUAGUGGCGCACGGGUGAGUAACGCGUAACUGACCUACCCCAAAGUCGCGGAUAACGAUUCGAAAGAAUCGCUAAUACGUGAUGUGCUGUCAGAUUGUGUUCUGCCAGUAAAGCUUGAUUGCUUUGGGAUGGGGUUGCGUUCCAUCAGCUAGUUGGUGGGGUAAAGGCCCACCAAGGCGACGACGGAUAGCCGGCCUGAGAGGGUGGCCGGCCACAGGGGCACUGAGACACGGGUCCCACUCCUACGGGAGGCAGCAGUUAGGAAUCUUCCACAAUGGGCGAAAGCCUGAUGGAGCGACGCCGCGUGAGGGAUGAAGGUCUUCGGAUCGUAAACCUCUGAAUCAGGGACGAAAGACACUUCGGUGGGAUGACGGUACCUGAGUAAUAGCACCGGCUAACUCCGUGCCAGCCGCCGCGGUAACAC